rnacentral:rRNA from 1 species
AGCGAACGCUGGCGGCAGGCCUAACACAUGCAAGUCGAACGAACCUUUCGGGGUUAGUGGCGGACGGGUGAGUAACACGUGGGAACGUGCCUUUAGGUUCGGAAUAACUCAGGGAAACUUGUGCUAAUACCGAAUGUGCCCUUCGGGGGAAAGAUUUAUCGCCUUUAGAGCGGCCCGCGUCUGAUUAGCUAGUUGGUUGAGGUAAUGGCUCACCAAGGCGACGAUCAGUAGCUGGUCUGAGAGGAUGAUCAGCCACAUUGGGACUGAGACACGGCCCAAACUCCUACGGGAGGCAGCAGUGGGGAAUCUUGCGCAAUGGGCGAAAGCCUGACGCAGCCAUGCCGCGUGAAUGAUGAAGGUCUUAGGAUUGUAAAAUUCUUUCACCGGGGACGAUAAUGACGGUACCCGUAGAAGAAGCCCCGGCUAACUUCGU